rnacentral:tRNA from 1 species
AUUUAAAUAGUUUAUUUAAAAUAUUGAUUUGUGAUAUCAAAGAAAUAAAAAUAUUCCAGUAUUUAUUUUAAAUU